UGAAGUGACACAACCGGACCUCUUUCUCUCUUCCUCUCUCACCGGAGUCAUCACACAGAAUGUGUGUUUAGAUGAUUGAGACUGAAGACACAAUAAUGGAUUUAAAUUAAAUAACCCAGCCUCAUACUGAAACUGAAGAAUGGAAAAGAAGCAGGAGGAAAGUAAAUUAAAACCCCAAUCCAUUGCAUACAUACUCGGCUUCCACUCCAAACAUGGUUGCCAUGGGAUCGCCCUCCAACAAUGAUACAAACGGAUCACCAAUUGUUUCUUCACCGAACACCGCUGUCACCAGCGUUACUGCUCUUGCUGCUGCCACUGCUUCCAUUGCACUCACUGCUCAGUUGCUUCCAAUAAGCUUCUUUCAGUUAUAGCCUACGCAACUUCCUUACAUGUAAUGGUCAUCUGCUGUUAUCUGAAUAUUCAUUAGUGACUGGCAC